rnacentral:tRNA from 1 species
GCGGGCGUAGCUUAGCUGGUUUAAAGCGCUGCCCUGUCACGGCAGAGAUCACCGGUUCGAAUCCGGCCGCCCGCG